UACGUAGGUGGCGAGCGUUGUCCGGAUUUACUGGGCGUAAAGGGAGCGUAGGCGGACUUUUAAGUGAGAUGUGAAAUACUCGGGCUCAACUUGAGUGCUGCAUUUCAAACUGGAAGUCUAGAGUGCAGGAGAGGAGAAUGGAAUUCCUAGUGUAGCGGUGAAAUGCGUAGAGAUUAGGAAGAACACCAGUGGCGAAGGCGAUCCUCUGGACUGUAACUGACGCUGAGGCUCGAAAGCGUGGGGAGCAAACAGG
rnacentral:rRNA from 1 species